GAUGAAGAACGUAGUAAAAUGCGAUAAGUAAUGUGAAUUGCAGAAUUCAGUGAAUCAUCGAAUCUUUGAACGCACAUUGCGCCCGCCAGUAUUCUGGCGGGCAUGUCUGUUCGAGCGUCAUUUCAACCCUCAAGCACAGCUUGGUGUUGGGACUCGCGUUAAUUCGCGUUCCCCAAAUUGAUUGGCGGUCACGUCGAGCUUCCAUAACGUAGUAGUAAAACCCUCGUUACUGGUAAUCGUCGCGGCCACGCCGUUAAACCCCAACUUCUGAAUGUUGACCUCGGAUCAGGUAGGAAUACCCGCUGAACUUAAGCAUAUCAAUAAGCGGAGGA
rnacentral:misc_RNA from 1 species